UGGGGAAUUUUGGACAAUGGGCGAAAGCCUGAUCCAGCAAUGCCGCGUGUGUGAAGAAGGCCUUCGGGUUGUAAAGCACUUUUGUCCGGAAAGAAAUCCUUGGCUCUAAUACAGUCGGGGGAUGACGGUACCGGAAGAAUAAGCACCGGCUAACUACGUGCCAGCAGCCGCGGUAAUACGUAGGGUGCAAGCGUUAAUCGGAAUUACUGGGCGUAAAGCGUGCGCAGGCGGUUUGCUAAGACCGAUGUGAAAUCCCCGGGCUCAACCUGGGAACUGCAUUGGUGACUGGCAGGCUAGAGUAUGGCAGAGGGGGGUAGAAUUCCACGUGUAGCAGUGAAAUGCGUAGAGAUGUGGAGGAAUACCGAUGGCGAAGGCAGCCCCCUGGGCCAAAUACUGACGCUCAUGCACGAAAGCGUGGGGGAGCAAACAGGAUUAGAUACCCUGGUAGUCCACGCCCUAAACGAUGUCAACUAGUUGUUGGGGAUUCAUUUCCUUAGUAACGUAGCUAACGCGUGAAGUUGACCGCCUGGGGAGUACGGUCGCAAGAUU
rnacentral:rRNA from 1 species